rnacentral:misc_RNA from 1 species
UUUCCGUAGGUGAACCUGCGGAAGGAUCAUUAUUGUAUAACCGAGGUGCGAGGGCUGUCGCUGACCCGAAAGGUCGUGCACGCUCGCGUGCCCUCACACUCAUCCAUCUCACCCCUACGAGCGCCACCGCGUGGGUCCCCCUUUGGCUUGUUCGGAGGGGGGCUUACGUUUUCACAAAAACUUUGUAUGCAGUGUAGAAUGUAUUUUUUGUUUUUGCGAACACGCAAUAAAUACAACUUUCAACAACGGAUCUCUUGGCUCUC